rnacentral:rRNA from 1 species
UACGAAGGGGGCUAGCGUUGUUCGGAAUCACUGGGCGUAAAGGGCGCGUAGGCGGCUUGAUAAGUCGGGGGUGAAAGCCUGUGGCUCAACCACAGAAUUGCCUUCGAUACUGUAGAGCUUGAGACCGGAAGAGGUAAGUGGAACUGCGAGUGUAGAGGUGAAAUUCGUAGAUAUUCGCAAGAACACCAGUGGCGAAGGCGGCUUACUGGUCCGGUUCUGACGCUGAGGCGCGAAAAGCGUGGGGGAGCAAACAGG